UGGCUCAGGAUGAACGCUAGCGGCAGGCCUAAUACAUGCAAGUCGAACGGAUAUAUGUUUUUCGGAAUAUAUAUUAGUGGCGCACGGGUGAGUAACACGUACAUAACUUGCCCUCAAGCGGGGGAUAGCCUUGGGAAACUGAGAGUAAUACCCCAUAGAAUUAUUGGACGGCAUCGUUUGAUAAUUAAAACUACGGUGCUUGGGGAUAGAUGUGCGUCUGAUUAGCUAGUUGGUGAGGUAACUGCUCACCAAGGCGACGAUCAGUAGGGGGCGUGAGAGCGUGGCCCCCCACACGGGUACUGAGACACGGACCCGACUCCUACGGGAGGCAGCAGUAAGGAAUAUUGGUCAAUGGAGGGAACUCUGAACCAGCCAUGCCGUGUGAAGGAUGACGGCCCUCUGGGUUGUAAACUUCUUUUGGAUGGGGCGAAAAAACGGGAUUUAUCCUGGACUGACGGUACCAUCAGAAUAAGCACCGGCUAACUCCGUG
rnacentral:rRNA from 1 species